UACGGGGGGAGCAAGCGUUGUUCGGAUUUACUGGGCGUAAAGGGCGCGUAGGCGGCCAGCACAAGUCAGUUGUGAAAUCUCCGGGCUUAACUCGGAACGGUCAACUGAUACUGCUCGGCUAGAGUGCGGAAGGGGCAACUGGAAUUCUUGGUGUAGCGGUGAAAUGCGUAGAUAUCGGGAGGAACACCGGCGGCGAAGGCGGCUGCCUGGACCGGCCCUGACGCUGAGGCGCGAAAGCGUGGGAGCAAACAGG
rnacentral:rRNA from 1 species